rnacentral:rRNA from 1 species
GUGGGGAAUAUUGGACAAUGGGCGGAAGCCUGAUCCAGCCAUGCCGCGUGUGUGAAGAAGGCCUUUUGGUUGUAAAGCACUUUAAGCGAGGAGGAGGCUCCUUUAGUUAAUACCUAAAGAGAGUGGACGUUACUCGCAGAAUAAGCACCGGCUAACUCUGUGCCAGCAGCCGCGGUAAUACAGAGGGUGCGAGCGUUAAUCGGAUUUACUGGGCGUAAAGCGUGCGUAGGCGGCUUUUUAAGUCGGAUGUGAAAUCCCUGAGCUUAACUUAGGAAUUGCAUUCGAUACUGGGAGGCUAGAGUAUGGGAGAGGAUGGUAGAAUUCCAGGUGUAGCGGUGAAAUGCGUAGAGAUCUGGAGGAAUACCGAUGGCGAAGGCAGCCAUCUGGCCUAAUACUGACGCUGAGGUACGAAAGCAUGGGGAGCAAACAGGAUUAGAAACCCGGGUAGUCC